rnacentral:lncRNA from 1 species
UGGUUGUUCUUUUCUUUUUUAGAAAAAAUAUAAUAUAAAUGAAAAAAUUUUGUAAAAGAGGAUGAUUGUUUGGUUCGCAUAUAUCGAAUUCAAAAUUUUGAUGAUUAAAAUAUUAAUUAGUAAAAAAUAUGCAAUUGUAUGAGAUGAACAUAUAUACUGGGUAUUCCGACCGUUUCUAAAGCAAGUGACAAAGAGUUGGUGGUUGAUAUCUGAGAUCCCAAAUUCGAAUUCUAAUUAAUUUACAUUUCUCAAUGAAAUAAACGAGGCGGAUAGCGUGCAAUCUAUCUCUUAAAGAAAAAUAAAAAACAUAUAUACUGGGUGCACGGAAUAAUUUUUUGGUACUGAAGU